rnacentral:tRNA from 2 species
GCCCCAAUGGCGGAACUGGUAGACGCGGCAGACUCAAAAUCUGUUGCCCGAAAGGGCGUGCUGGUUCGAUUCCGGCUUGGGGCACCA